ACCAUAGAAAAAAAAAAACAGUUUCCCUUUCUAAUUAAAAUAUCACAAAACCUUAACAACCACGUCUUAAUCCAAAUGAUGAGAACUGGAUAUUAAGCCACCAUUUUAUGACUUCAAUAAAGCUUAAAAUGAAAGGGACAUUGAAACAAGCAAAUUCCACUUGAAGCAUUAACACAGAUGUAUUCAAUAAACAUAACAGACUUUCAAACUAACAUAUAAUGUGGAGAAUUACAACAAAAACACUGAUACUAACCAGAAAAAGAGACAGAACUUUGAAAUUUUGAGUUCUACAGCCAAAAAAUCACGCAACAAACUAGACCCAGAUGGAACCUCGCGCGAGUUUGAACCACAACUCCAAUUGAUUUUACAAUUCCAAUGAUCAGAACGUUUUGAAGCUCAAAAACAACAGGAAUGCAACCAGAACCUCGGCAGGCGACGAACUCGUCGAACUUCGUCGGAGAAAACUCAAAUCGCACCGACGAACCCGAACUCUACAUCGACGGGGAGAAAUAUGAAGCUUAGAGAGCUGACUGUAAUUGAAACUUGGUGUGUUUUGGUUGAAGGAGAAACAGAACUGAUAUGGUCGUUUUUGAAGAGGGUGAUGACUGUUUAUGGAGAUGGAAGGCGGCGACAAUAAGUUCUUAAGGGGCAUGGACAUGGGUGACGGGUUUCGUGCGUUUUUGAGUAGUUCGCUGGAUGAGAACAAAAGCUGGAUCCGAUUCACGGAGUGGUCAUUGGUUUCUAGGGUUGUUGGUGUUUAAACAUGGGAAGAAGAUGAAGCCGGGGGGUCGAAGAAGAAGACGUGAAAGGGAGGUCUGUUGGUCGAAAAUGGAUGCUACUGCAUCUUUUAGGUCCUUAAAGUUCGUUCUCCAUGUCUGCAUUGGCUGAUGCUCCAAUGGAGUUUUCUUGCUGUCUCAACCAGGAAGACGACGAAGAGGCUACGUGAGGGNNN
rnacentral:lncRNA from 1 species